CGAACGGGUGAGUAAUGCGUGACCAACCUGCCCCAUGCUCCAGAAUAGCUCUUGGAAACGGGUGGUAAUGCUGGAUGCUCCAACUUGACACAUGUCUUGUUGGGAAAGUGUUUAGUGGCAUGGGAUGGGGUCGCGUCCUAUCAGCUUGUAGGCGGGGUAAUGGCCCACCUAGGCUUCGACGGGUAGCCGGCCUGAGAGGGCGGACGGCCACAUUGGGACUGAGAUACGGCCCAGACUCCUACGGGAGGCANCAGUA
rnacentral:rRNA from 1 species